rnacentral:rRNA from 1 species
GCUUGUCUCAAAGAUUAAGCCAUGCAUGUCUUAGUGUAAAUAACUCUUAUGAAACUGCGAAUGGCUCAUUAAAUCAGUUAUGAAUUUAGCCACCUGGUUCCGUCGCAAGACGUAGGAAUAACACUGUCAACUGCAGCGAUAAUGCCUGAAAAACGUGUGAAUUUAGUAGCACAAAUACUAGAGUAUGGAUGAGUCCGCUCUAUUCAGGAGGGUUUUCCCUCUGUUGACCAUCGAGUUCGAGGGUUGAAUACUUAGGCUUCGGCUUCUGUUGAAAGCUUUAUCGGUGGCCGGGAAGAUAUGUUUCUAAUCUAUUAGCCAGACUAUUGGGUAAGGUCCAAUUUUCGGCUAUAAUGGAUACAGGGGAUCGGUGUCCGACUCUGGAGAGAGAGCCUGAGAAACGGCUAUCACAUCUAAGGAAGGCAGCAGG